rnacentral:rRNA from 1 species
CUCCUACGGGACCGCUCAGUGGGGGAUAUUGCACAAUGGAGGAAACUCUGAUGCAGCGACGCCGCGUGAGGGAAGAAGGUUUUCGGAUUGUAAACCUCUGUCUUUAGGGACGAUAAUGACGGUACCUAAAGAGGAAGCACCGGCUAACUACGUGCCAGCAGCCGCGGUAAUACGUAGGGUGCAAGCGUUGUCCGGAAUUACUGGGUGUAAAGGGAGCGUAGGCGGGAAGGCAAGUUGGAUGUAUAAACUAUCGGCUCAACCGGUAGAGGCAUUCAAAACUGCUUUUCUUGAGUGAAGUAGAGGUAGGCGGAAUUCCUAGUGUAGCGGUGAAAUGCGUAGAUAUUGGGAGGAACACCAGUGGCGAAGGCGACUUACUGGGCCGUAACUGACGCUGAGGCGCGAAAGCGUGGGGAGCGAACAGGAUUAGAUACCCUGGUAGUCCACGCGGUAAACGAUGAAUGCUAGGUGUAGCGGGUAUCGACCCCUGCUGUGCCGGAGUAAACACAAUAAGCAUUCCGCCUGGGGAGUACGGCCGCAAGGUUGAAACUCAAAGGAAUUGACGGGGGCCCGCACAAGCAGCGGAGCAUGUGGUUUAAUUCGAAGCAACGCGAAGAACCUUACCAGGUCUUGACAUCGAAUGAAUCCAUAGAGAUAUGGAGUGCCUUUCGGGGAGCAAGAAGACAGGUGGUGCAUGGUUGUCGUCAGCUCGUGUCGUGAGAUGUUGGGUUAAGUCCCCGCAACGAGCGCAACCCUUAUGAUCAGUUACUAACGGGUAAGGCCGAGGACUCUGAUGAGACUGCCGGGGACAACUCGGAGGAAGGUGGGGACGACGUCAAAUCAUCAUGCCCCUUAUGACCUGGGCUACACACGUGCUACAAUGGUGACAACAAAGAGGAGCGAGCUCGCAAGGGUAAGCGGAUCUCAAAAAAGUCAUCCCAGUUCGGAUUGUGGGCUGCAACCCGCCCACAUGAAGUUGGAGUUGCUAGUAAUCGCGAAUCAGCAUGUCGCGGUGAAUACGUUCCCGGGCCUUGUACACACCGCCCGU